rnacentral:rRNA from 1 species
AUGUCGAAUGGGCGCAGCCUGACGACGCAACCCCGCGUGGAGGAUGAAGGUCUUCGGAUUGCAAACUCCUGUUGCCCGGGACGAAUGGCUUCAACCUAAUACGUUGGAGUGUGACGGUACCGGGUGAGGAAGCCCCGGCUAACUCUGUGCCAGCAGCCGCGGUAAUACAGAGGGGGCAAGCGUUGUUCGGAAUUACUGGGCGUAAAGGGCGCGUAGGCGGCCUGCUAAGUCGAACGUGAAAUCCCUGGGCUCAACCCAGGAACUGCGUCCGAUACUGGUUGGCUUGAAUCCGGGAGAGGGAUGUGGAAUUCCAGGUGUAGCGGUGAAAUGCGUAGAUAUCUGGAGGAACACCGGUGGCGAAGGCGACAUCCUGGACCGGUAUUGACGCUGAGGCGCGAAAGCCAGGGGAGCAAACGGGAUUAGAUACCCCGGUAGUCCUGGCCCUAAACGAUGAAUGCUUGGUGUGGUGGGUAUCGAUCCCUACCGUGCCGAAGCUAACGCAUUAAGCAUUCCGCCUGGGGAGUACGGUCGCAAGGCUGAAACUCAAAGAAAUUGACGGA